rnacentral:lncRNA from 1 species
GUACAUGAUACUGCAGAGAUUCAAAAUCAGAAGUAAAUCAGCUGGACAGUUGCCCCCUGUCUUCCUAAAGAGGCAAAUAUAUUAGAAACAGAAGAAGGGGCCUACCUACCUCAUUCCUGUGAGUAGCUAUAAACAUCCCCUCCAUCCCUCACAUCAGCAUCUGCCAGGUAGUUAUUUUGGAAAGCUGAACAUAGGGAUGAGGUGAAGAAAACAAAAAUUUUAAUUUGCUUUCUUGGUGACAACAAUUAAGUGUAGCCAACUAAAGAAACCAACUAAAAUUUGUUUACCAGGCUACCAGCAUGCCUAUUGCCUGUGGGCUACACAGAGCUGAUGGAUGAUGCAUUGUUACUCAUGAAAUGAACCUUUAUAUGUGCUUCCUAAAGCUUGCAUACUGCAUAAAUUCCUAAAACCAUCCAUAUCAUUGCCAUGUUAAACUGAUGCUGCAGUUGAUGUGUCACUGCAGAAGCUGUUUGUUCUUUGCUUUUGUAUUUCUUAGCUGUUUAUUCUGUAGUAAGGUGGUGUAACCCAUUGUGAGGCUUGAACAGAAAUGCCCAGAGUGACCCCCUUGGUCAGGGCAGUGGACAGAACAGUGUUUGCUGAACAGCUGCUGUGUAGCUGAUACUGCUCUGAGUGCCUUUUCCUUGUGACUUCUCUGCCCUUUCUCCAGGGAGAAGGUGGGUUUGCUGCUGUGGGUGCCUGCCUUGUUUGCUUCACCAAAAUGAGGUAGGGCAUGCAGGAGAGAAGGGAGAUUGUUGCAAGCAGAACCUAUCAUGAUUUCUCAGGGGACAAACUUUUGCUUAUUCAUACCUUCUACUGUGGCAAAAAUGGAUUCUUUUCCUCACCAAAAACCAGCAGCAUAACACCCAUCCAACACCUGCCUCAAGGAACUCUUAUUUAAAGUGUAUUGUAAGUCAAAUGAACCACUUGAAAACGGUAGCUUUAAUCAGCUGUGUGUGUCUAUUUACAGCUCGGGACCAGCAGCCUUGCAGGGAGCGCUAAUCUGAGCAGGGCGGCUCUGCUGCAGCUGCUCCUGGCUCUGGAGAGGAG